GAUGAACGCUGGCGGCGUGCUUAACACAUGCAAGUCGAACGGUGAAGCAGGAGCUUGCUCUUGAGGAUCAGUGGCGAACGGGUGAGUAACACGUGAGCAACCUGCCCCUGACUCUGGGAUAAGCGCUGGAAGCGGCGUCUAAUACUGGAUAUGUGAUGUGACCGCAUGGUCUGCAUCUGGAAAGAAUUUCGGUUGGGGAUGGGCUCGCGGCCUAUCAGCUUGUUGGUGAGGUAAUGGCUCACCAAGGCGUCGACGGGUAGCCGGCCUGAGAGGGUGACCGGCCACACUGGGACUGAGACACGGCCCAGACUCCUACGGGAGGCAGCAGUGGGGAAUAUUGCACAAUGGGCGGAAGCCUGAUGCAGCAACGCCGCGUGAGGGAUGACGGCCUUCGGGUUGUAAACCUCUUUUAGCAGGGAAGAAGCGAAAGUGACGGUACCUGUAGAAAAAGCACCGGCUAACUACGUGCCAGCCGCCGCCGUAA
rnacentral:rRNA from 1 species